UCCUACGGGAGGCAGCAGUGGGGAAUUUUCCGCAAUGGGCGAAAGCCUGACAGAGCAAUACCGCGUGAGGGAAGACGGCCUAUGGGUUGUAAACCUCUUUUUUCAGGGAGGAAUUUUGACGUGUACCUGAAGAAUAAGCAUCGGCUAACUCCGUGCCAGCAGCCGCGGUAAGACGGAGGAUGCAAGUGUUAUCCGGAAUCACUGGGCGUAAAGCGUCUGUAGGUGGUUUAAUAAGUCAACUGUUAAAUCUUGAGGCUCAACUUCAAAAUCGCAGUCGAAACUAUUAGACUAGAGUAUAGUAGAGGUAAAGGGAAUUUCCAGUGGAGCGGUGAAAUGCGUAGAUAUUGGAAAGAACACCGAUGGCGAAAGCACUUUACUGGGCUAUUACUAACACUCAGAGACGAAAGCUAGGGUAGCAAAUGGGAUUAGAUACCCCAGUAGUCCUAGCCGUAAACUAUGGAUACUAGAUGUUGAACAGAUCGACCUGUGCAGUAUCAAAGCUAACGCGUUAAGUAUCCCGCCUGGGAAGUAUGCUCGCAAGAGUGAAACUCAAAUGAAUUGACGGA
rnacentral:rRNA from 1 species